GAAUUACAAGUGGAUUUAUAACUGCCUACAUGCAGGUAUUAACUUCCAACAGCGUAUCUUCGAGGUACCUACAUACGAAUGUUGUCAACGAUGCGAAUUACCUGACUUCUCUGACUGUAUGCGGAGAUAUAGCGGGGCCGUGGCACAGUGUAAUAGCGAGGCCUUACGAUGUAUAGCACGUUGUAUCAACAAUAAGGGGCCAACAGCUGGACAGCCCGGACCGCCCGGACCUCCCGGUCCCCCUGCACCAAAGAAAUGUCCCGUGAAGCGCAAGAAAGUGCUGGGAGGUUCUGACUGCCUUGAACGAUCUUGUGUGAAAAUCUAAAGUCAUUUCAUAUUACGAAGUUCGUCCGAAGAUUUGGUUAAAAAACACUAUUAAGAAUUUACUUAUUUGUAGGACUGAAGACUAGAUAUAUGAUAAUAUUUACAAUUAGAAGUUACAAUUUACCAAUGUAUGUUAGUUUAAAAUUCGCUCUUUAAAACUGAGCCAGUACUUUUAUACAUGGCAGUAUAGUAUACCUUGUCUAUUCUUUCUAUUCGAUCGUGUUGCUUCAUGAAUGUUCCUGUCCAUCACUGUAUUCUGAAGAAUGAAAGAAAAUUAGUAUUCGAUUUAAGUAACUCUGCAUGUCAGUUCUGAGCUGUUCAUGCUGGAAGUCCAUGAGUAUUAUAAAGAGUCACAAUUUAUACGUAAUCAAUAUAUUUCUUUCAUACUAUUGU